ensembl:lncRNA
GGGAAGGGGAAGUCCUCCUAAGCCACAAUACCAACCUCAGUGGAGGAGUGGGCUUCCUCUUCUCCAUGUCUUUUAAUCCACUGUCACUGGAGGUCAAACACAUCAUCGAGGGGAGGUUGUUCUUCAAGGCACGCAAGGCUGGACAUCAGCAGCAGUGGUACCCCAGGCCUGAUGGGGGCGCUGCUGAAAGCACGAGUCCUGUGCCUGCAGCAGCUGGUGGACGCAGUGGGGCCGACGCUGAGCGACGCCCCGGCCCUGGGCUCUCUGCUGGGGCUGCACUCCGUCCGGAUGGCGAGGAGGCUCCUGGAGCUGUGGAACCAGAGGCUGACUGAGGAGGAAAGAAGCCUCCUCACAGACUACAGCCAGAAAGAUGUGGAGCCGGACCCUGCAGACCCCUUCCCCGAGAUCUACCUGAGCCCAGGACUAGGGGAACUCACCGGCCCCCUGCUCGCCACAACACGCCCCGAAGCGCUGACAUUGCACGAAGCAGACAAGAAGACUCUGUAUUUUAACUGUGUGAAGAGCAUAAACCGGUCCGGACUGUGCGACAGGCUCCCCACUGUGUGGUCCAACAGACUGGGACAAAAUGGACCGGGCCCACAGUGGAGGAUUUUAUACAAGCCUCCCCUCAAGAAACGGACUGCCGACCUCCAGUGGAGAAUUUUACACGGUGCUGUCGCCUCCAACGCUUUUAUUUCUGUUAUUAAUCCCACUGUUCUGAGCAAAUGCCCCUUCUGUGACCUCCGAGAGACUAUUUAUCAUGUUUUUACAGAGUGCAAGAGACUUGCGAGUUUCUUCUCUCUUUUAACAUCGGUUUUUAGUCUUUUUAAUGUGGUUUUUACUGAAAAGAUUUUUAUCAUGGGAGCUGCCUACAAGAAAGCAGAAAAAGAAAAAUGGCAGCUCCUCAACUAUCUUUCAGGGGAAGCCAAAAUGGCCAUUUAUUUAAGCAGGAAGGCCAGAGUGAAGGACAGAGAGGGGCAGGAGGCCAGGGCAGUGUGGCUGGUGAAUAUCAGGGCCAGGCUCUGGCUAGAGUUCCGCUUUUAUAAACACAUUGGAGACGUAGACACUUUUAAACAACGUUGGUGUUUUAAUAAUAUUGUGUGCUCAGUGAAAAAGAAUGAAUUGGUG